AAUCCCCGACAUCCGAGGCCAAACCCGAGGCUCCAGCAGCUGAGAAAAAGGAAGCAAAAUAAAGGAUCUUAUACAAUGGGCGAAUUCCAGUACAUGCCAGUUAUUUCCAUUUUGUUCUAACACCCAGUUUCAAAUAAGCCAGGCCAUGCAUGAAACACGUGCGUUUCACGUUUCUGACAACGUCUACAUAUAUAUUUUGGUAAACUGCCAAGAAUUAAACAAAUUAUAAUACUUACAUUGUAGUCCAUGAUGCAGAGUCGAUUGUACAUAAUUAUACGUUAUUUUACCUGAUAUUAAUCGUUGAUAAAAAAAACAACAACCCAGAUUUAAAUGUAAAAUAUUAAAGUCCUUAGUGUAUAGAUAAUGAUAUUAUGAUUAUGUUAGAAGAGUUGUAGGUAAAUUUAAAAAGAGGGGAAGAGAUAGUUAUAUUUGUAGUAAUAGUGUUUUACUUGUGACUUUGAAUUUACUCAAUAUUGUUAAAAAUCUGCUUUAAAGCUAUUAUAGACGAUUUUGUGAAUGUUAUGAUGGUAUUGUAUGACAAAUACUCAAGCUUAAUACAAUUAAGCUUAGAUAGAUGUAAUACUUAGACAGUUACCAUUCUGAGAUUGCUGUAUUAGGUAAGAGUUUCUGGUUGAAAUCAGCGGUUGUUUAAUUGUACUAAAAAAAAAUUGUGUGUGUUCUUUGUGUAGUAGUCAAGCUUUCUCUAUCCAAAAUCAUUAUAUGCCCAGUUAAACUGUGUUGUGAAUCAUUUUACCUCUCGCGUCUAUUGUGUUGUGAAUGCAAUAUAUAUCAUAUACAUGUGCACGUAUACACAAUCAUUCACUACAAGAUUAUGUAACUUUAUAUGUUGCCCUUGUAGAUUAUGAAAUCCAUGAAAAGUGCCGUACGAGCAGUGUCGUUACUAUAAAUAGCCUCUAUACCACGUGACAAGGCGUUUUCUCUCUAGUAUAGUAGGUGUUCGAAAAGCUUUAUCCGUAUUGUGCAUUGAGAUAACCACUGAGAAAACCCGAUUAAAUAGAAAACUUAUACAUAAUCUUAAAAAAGCAAUACACUGCUUAUACUGCGUAUGAAUUGUUGUAUUAUAUUGUACAUUUUCCAUGGUUACGUGUAAAUCAUAGUAUUUCGUAAGGUCUAGAUAUAGUUCUUGUGUAUUGUGAAUGUAUGCAAUCAUAAUUCAAAUUCAUUCCAGUUUCUGUGCUAAGUGAUCACCAAGUAUUUUACGUGUGUGUAUAGUCAAUGGCCAACGUCUAUUCUUCGUAAUAUAAAUAAUUAUUUUUUUUCCUGUCAGAGAAAGGUUACAAAUAAAAUGAAAUGAGUAUUUUGAUAUUUAAAAGAAUAGAUCAGUUAUCUUUCAAAGUGUUUCAUCGGUAUUUUAAUUAUAUGUGUAUUUUUGUGACAGAUUCAAAUAUUUUCAUGAAUAGUGAUAGAAACUUCAAAAUUGAUGUGCCGUAAAAUUGGUGUUUUAAUAAAUCGUAAACCUGUU
rnacentral:misc_RNA from 1 species